rnacentral:rRNA from 1 species
UUAUUGGGCGUAAAGAGCUUGUAGGCGGUUUGUCGCGUCUGCUGUGAAAGGCCGGAGCUUAACUCCGUGUAUUGCAGUGGGUACGGGCAGACUAGAGUGCAGUAGGGGAGACUGGAAUUCCUGGUGUAGCGGUGGAAUGCGCAGAUAUCAGGAGGAACACCGAUGGCGAAGGCAGGUCUCUGGGCUGUAACUGACGCUGAGAAGCGAAAGCAUGGGGAGCGAACAGGAUUAGAUACCCUGGUAGUCCAUGCCGUAAACGUUGGGCACUAGGUGUGGGGGGCAUUCCACGUUUUCCGCGCCGUAGCUAACGCAUUAAGUGCCCCGCCUGGGGAGUACGGCCGCAAGGCUAAAACUCAAAGAAAUUGACGGGGGCCCGCACAAGCGGCGGAGCAUGCGGAUUAAUUCGAUGCAACGCGAAGAACCUUACCAAGGCUUGACAUAUACUGGACCGCAUCAGAGAUGGUGUUUCCCUUCGGGGCUGGUAUACAGGUGGUGCAUGGUUGUCGUCAGCUCGUGUCGUGAGAAG